rnacentral:lncRNA from 1 species
GCGGGCCUUGGCGCGGGGCUGCCUUCAGGUCUCCUCUCGCUCGCAUCCGCGCCCCGCAGCGCGCCGUCGUUGAGGACGCGCGUGCCCGCCGGAGGCUUCGAGCUGGCGGCGAUUGGCUGACGCCGUGUGGGCGCCUCCGGCCUGAGAAACUCCGGGAGAGCACGGCGCAGAGUCUGCGCCCAGGGCGGUGCCAGGCGCGUCGCAGGUAUAACCCAUGUUAAUACUGAACGGGACUCUACGGGAAUAAAUAAAAGUACACAGCUAGAUGAACAACUAGCCAUGAAUUCUGAGGGAAGCUUGAUUCAGAAAUCCAGUGACUUAGUUAAUGAAGUCACAAAUGAGGACACUGAGCUACUGGGGCAGAGACCACGGAGUUUUCAGGUCGUUGGUUAUAAUCCAGAAGAUGAGACACUUGAAAAGUGCAACAUUAUGGAGCAUAGAAGUAAUGAUCUACAUUAUGAAUGUAUGAUUCCUUAUCAAGUUACUUCAGAUGUAAAUAAAGAGACAGUAGCAUUUCUUCUAAAAGAAUUGGAUAUGCUCAGAACAAGCAAUAAAAAGCUUCAAGAAAAACUGACUAAAGAAAAUAAAGAACAGAAAAAAUUAACGCUUAAGCUGGAACUCCAAGAAAAAACAAUGGAAGCUAAAAUUGCUGAAAAGACUUCAGCUCUAGUUGAAGAAGUGUAUUUUGCACAGAGGGAACGUGAUGAAGCUGUUAUGUCUAGACUGCAGUUAGCCAUCAAGGAGAGAGAUGAAGCAAUUGCACGAGCCAAGCAUAUGGAAAUGUCUCUAAAAUGUAUGUACGCAAUUAAUGUAAAAUGUGAUAUAGGAGCAUUU